rnacentral:snRNA from 1 species
UCACUCUGGUUUCCCUUCAAAACGCAUAAAUCUUUCGCCUUUUACUAAAGAUUUCCGUGGAGGGGAACACUCAAAUGUGUCUUAAAUUAUUUUUGAGAGUCCUGCGAAUAGCAGGACU